AGGGACUGGAUUAAAAACUGCGUUUGUGUCAAUUCGUGGUAAUUUUCAACACAUAUGACAAAACUAAGAUUUUUUGUUCCUUGUACACGAGCGGCAGACAAAAUAAGUCAUGCCAAUUUUCGAGUGCAACCUUCGUGUUGACGACAACGUUGUUUGCUUUUAGCUCCCUAUCUAUUAAACAUUACAUAAUACCUUAAUAAAGAAAUUUCUCAUUCCGAUUUUAUAUUAUGUACUUGCUAACUUUGCCAAAUACAAUGUGAUCCACAAAACAAACACUCCAUCGCCAAAGACAAGAAAUUUAUCAAAUUCAAAUAUUCCCAAGCUGUGGAACAGUAUAUAGCGAAGUAUAAAGAGAAUCAUGUCAAAAUUUUUCCCAUUUUGUGAUCCCCCAAGACAAAGGUAUUUCCGACAUUUUCUGAAUAGAUCAUGCAACGACAUUGGGAUAUUGUUUCAGAUAUGUUGAGGUUUUUAAUUAAGGUCAAGUCACUUUUGUAGAACUAAAUUUAGUGUCCGGAGUAAUUUCUCGUAAAAACUAUUUCUCGUUUACUAUGAUAUAAUAACUAAAUGAGGAAUUUCCUGAGUAUUGCAGCGCAGUUAAUAAAAAUAGGAUCAAAUUCUUGCAGCUUCUAAAAGUGUAUAUAUACGUAUUAAUAAUUUGACCUAAUUCCCUGCCACGUCUAUAAUAGCCUGCUGAGCAGCAUUGUGAUGUGUCAACCAUUGAUAGAUUACCAUGGUUAAACCAAAAUUGCUCGCUGAAUUCAGGAAACUUCGAUUCUUUCUCGCGACGUAUAGGCACACCUGACAUCUAAUAUUCACGCACAUAUUAUAGCUUCACUAAUAUAGAUCAUUGUUGAAAAUUGUAUGGAAAUUUCCAUACUGCCAUAUACAUUAGAUUUAGUAUAUACAAAUUAUCUGAAUGUCUAUCGAUUUUAAUUUUUUUCCCAAUGCAUGGAUCUGGGCAUGUAUGAUUAGGGUAAGGUUGGGUUAGGGGUAGUCUUAGAGUUACUAUAUUGAUUAAGAUCCGACAUUUAUUGGCAAUGAAAAUGCCUCCAUAUAUUAUAGGGAUGAGUGUCGAGGAGGGGGGAGUGUAGAGGCGGGGUUGUCUCGAAAGGAAGGGUUAGCUAUCUUAGAUUGUGCUAAUUUAGUUCCCUUUAUAUCUCACAACACCAUAUGAGGCUGAGUGUAAGAGGGGUGGGGGGGGGAGAGUAAGUUCCUUUCGAAUCUCUAAAUAUCAUACAGUAAAUGUAUAACUAUCCUUAAAACUGGUUGAUAAAAUUCAGUCAAAGAACACUAAUAAGUUCCUUGCAGGUAUGAUGAAAGAAAUUAUAAUUGUUUCAUUUCGUGGUAUAUAAACAUCAUGUUCGUUAAAAUGCCGCAAAGGUUUCAAAAUAACUCAGCCAUAUAAUUCCUUGUAUGUUUGAAUGAUGAAAGUGAUACAAUUGUCUUGUGUUAUGAAAACAUCACGUUUACUUAUAUUGGCAAACGUUGCGGAUCAAACCAGCUUUGCCAAAUAUCUAAAAGUUGACGUGUUGUUUUACACGAAAACAGGAAUCUAGUACAAAGAGCACUCUUUCAUGUCCUUCUCACAAAAACUGCUUGUUUCUACGAUAUUAAAUUCACUUGAAAUGGUCUUUCUAUAAGCGUUAAAAUACUGUUAUUUUGUUCCGUGACAUACCAGAGAGCACUUGCAGAACCACGCACGUAAACAUUUGAGUAUAAUUACUGAAAUUUUAGCUGGGUUAUUUUUGUAAUUUCAAUAGAAAGACUCCAAUUAUAUAAAUGAUCUUUCAAGAUCCUUUUUGAAAGUCAAAGAAAUUUUAUAACUGAAAAACAGGAAAUAUAUGCUUUGCUAUUUUUAUGUCUCUUUGUGAAGCGGCUUGUUUUGAUCAUUUCAGAAAAUUUUGUUCCGUUAGCUAUUCCAAUUUUUGGAAUACUUUAAAGUUUUCUCACAAAUUUUGCUACGAUGUAUGUGUAUUACAAUAUAUUUUCAAUAGGAUUGAGUUGG